rnacentral:lncRNA from 1 species
CAGCGGUGGGAUAUAGCGAUUUCCUCUGGUCCUCUAGCAUGCGCUCAAACUUAGCUUUCUCUUUAUCACUUUCACAUUCUCUUUGUGCAUCACGGAUGACAUCACCAAAAAGCAUCAUCGCCCCGAUCAUCUUCUGCAGCUACCUCUUCUUCAUUAUCUCCCCCCAUUGCAACAUCAUUAAAGCCACCGUACUGAGCAAUAAUAUUGGCAUGGUCCAAUUCUUCUUCUUCUUCUUCACCUUCAUCCAUUAUAAUCCC